GGCUCGGGAGGCAGGAAGUCUCGCUCCAGGGGCUCGGCCCGGGGCCGCUCCCUCCGCGCCCGCACCUGCCCCUGCGCCCCUCACCUGGCGCGCCCUCCCCCGUCCUGCCCACCCCGGAGGCCUUCCUGUGUUAGUUUGGUUUUCCCUGUUGUCUCACGUACUUAUUUUUGGAACGGGGUCUGCUUUCGCGGAGGGCAGAGAGCAGAGGCCUUCCUGAGCCCGCGGGGUGCGGUGCACCCAGGGCUGCAGACCGAGCUCUCCAGCAUAGCCGAGAUCCUUGAGGAAUCCAAAACUUCCCUUCUUCAUUUGGCGAGCCAGCCAGGAGGCAGCUGAGUGGUGCUCCCUGACUCCUAACGGAGACUGGUGAGAUUUUUUUUUUCUCCCCCUC
rnacentral:lncRNA from 1 species